UUAUUUUAUUAAUCAAUGUUACAUCCAAUGACUAGAGAGUUUGAAAAAGGUGCCAAAGGUGAGCAUCGGCAGGCAAUGGAGCGAGCCGACUUUCACAAUGACUGACAGUUCACAAAGUGUGUGUGUUGAGAGACUGGAACUCAAAAGAGCUUCCAAAUUCACUAAUGAUCCUUCCGCAGGUUCACCUACGGAAA
rnacentral:misc_RNA from 1 species